rnacentral:lncRNA from 1 species
UGAGGAUGGAGAAUUAGUGGUGGGUGAGAUGAAUGGUGCUUAUUAUUUUUCCAAAAUAGAUUUGAAAAACAAUUAUCACCAAAUUAGGAUAAAAAGGGAGAUUAAUGGAAAACAAAACCCUAAACCCUAAACUAAUUUCAAUCUAGUAAACAAAAACGGGGCAAUGAAAAUCACUACUGGAAAUGGACAAUUCAUGUAACAUUAAAAAGUAAAGACAACAACAGGGUAAAAAAACAAUAUGAAACACAAAUUCAGAAUCACAAUCACGACAAUCUAAGGCUAAAAUCAUAAAGAAAGUGCAAGAAAAUAAAGUAAAAACAAAAUCAACUCAGAACAAUAAAGCUAUGACUAAAAGAAUCCUCAAAAUGAAAAUUCAGAUUAAGAACAAUUGAUGAAAACAAAAAAGGAAAGGAAACAAAAUCAAAAAGCAAUAUUGGAACUCAAAUUCAACACAGAAUCUAUAACUAACAGUGCUAGAAAUGUAAACUAGUAUGCUGGAAUUAAAAGAACAAGUAGAAACACAAAUUAAAUCAAUAAAACCGAAAUUGAGUCAAUGUCUCUUCGUUCGGUCCUCUCUCGGAGCUUCGUCCAUCAAGAACUUUAUUAACAACUGGAAAUGAGAAUAAAAAAUACCAGAAUAUUCAGAGAACCCAAAGUCUUUCACCUAAUGAGAUUCUCUAAGAACUCUAGUGCAGAUAGUAGUGUUAUACCUCUACGAAAGCUUUAAAAAUCUAAAAAUAAGAAACUACUCAUAACCGACUCUAAAACUCACUUUCUAAGUGUAGUGUUUGUCACCCACUCC